rnacentral:lncRNA from 1 species
CGGUUUGUUCUAUUUCCACAAAAGACGGCCUGCAUCCAUUGCAUCCCUUUGGUGUCCUUUAAUUUUUAAUCCUGAUGUCAAGUAUAUAUCCUCAUAAGAAGUAUCAUGUUAGGAACCAACUCUCACAAAGCAAAUUAUAAAGAUGAGUUCUUACAUUUGGAAUAUAUACAUCGACUUAUUCUGUUUACAUCCUGAGAAAUAGAAGAGAAAAAGGGCGAAGCCUGCUACCCA